CUCCUGGAUAACCUGACCAAUGGAUGCCUGGUUCUGUGCUCGGAUGAAGCACUGCCUCUUGCACUCCAUCAGCUGCUCCAGGUCCCGCCACAUCUUCAUCUGCUCCAUGUUGGCACUGUGAUUCUCACGAACCAUCUUCUGCCUCUCACGUAAUUUCUGGAAUUCACAUAGAAGUAAAAUUGGGUAGCGUACUUGUCUACCCGAUCUGUGCCCAGACUACAUUCUCGACAGACCAUGACCAAGUACUGACCCAUUGCAUCUGCUAAAUGCAGCCUGAAGAACAGUCACAAGAACAGUGACAACUAUGUGUUCUGCAACUGAAACUAAUGUGGCAGGAGCUCAACUGACUGUGCUGUAAUAAUAGCUUGCAGAGGUAAAAAUGCUAUUCAUCUAUGCAAGCAGCUGGCUGGCCUGGAUCAGUACGCUUACCUGAUGGCCUUCUUCCUCUCUUGUGGAUCA